UAUAUAUGUACAUAUAUUCUGAUUAGGGUUCCUUUUUCUUCAGAUUGGGUUAGGUUGAAGCUAAUAAUCAGAUUGCUUGGCUUGAAACUAAUAAUGAAAAGGUAUGAUGAUGACGGUAAUGAAAAGAUUUGGUGCAAGCUUUCUUUGCUUUGAUUAGAGAAGAAGAAGACUAACAUUUAAAGAUAUUUAUAUUGAUCUGGACAUUAUUCAAGAUGGCUCAUGGCAAAGGGAAAGAGGUCACAAUCACAAUUCACAAGUUCUCUUGAUGGUGAGAUAUGCUUCAGAGGUUAAUACAUGUUGAGAGGUGAUAACCAACCGAGAAAAGUUUGAGGCUUAUGCGAAAAGAAGAAAGAAUGAAUUGCAUCCUUCAAAGCCCGUAAAUAUGAGAAAGCCAUAUUUCUGGAAUUAUAUACAUUUGAUCAUGUUUCGUAGUUGCAGAUGAUUUUCCUAAAGAUGGCAGCCUGAUGGAGAUACACAAGAAGAAACAAAAGUGAUUGGAACAUUAGGAUACCUGGGUCCAGAGUAUGCGCAGCGUAGGUAGAUCACUUAAAAAGCUGAUGUAUCAUCAUUUGUGGUUGUAUCGAUAGAACUUAUUAUAAGAAGAAAGCGGUGGAUCUUAAUUGUCCCAAAGGCCAACAAUUUAUAAUUCCAUCGGUGUUACGGAUGCUAGAAGGCAACCAAAGGCAAAAGUGGCAGCAAAUGAGACGGGGAUGGUGGUGGCUAAGGAUUUAGGUGGCGGUGGAUGUUAUUCACGGUAACAUUUGUAGAUAGCAGGAGUUAUAUGAAUACCCGGCUGUGAGGUUGUGCUUCAGGCCCCAGAUUUUAAGGUUCUGACCGCAUACACUUAUUGAUGUUAGAAAGGUAGAUUUGACUUUGGGUCUCAAGAUUUCAAUGCCUAUCAUGAUUGCACCUACAACUAUGCAGAAAAUGGCUCACCUUCAUGGUGGAAAGAGCUUAAUUAGUUAGUCUAAAUGGGUAGCUA